rnacentral:rRNA from 1 species
UACGUAGGGCGCAAGCGUUGUCCGGAAUUAUUGGGCGUAAAGCGCACGUAGGCGGCUUAGCAAGUCGGAUGUGAAAUCCCUCGGCUCAACCAAGGAAGUGCAUCCGAAACUGCUGAGCUUGAGUACUUAAGAGGAUCGCGGAAUUCCCGGUGUAGAGGUGAAAUUCGUAGAUAUCGGGAGGAACACCAGUGGCGAAGGCGGCGAUCUGGGAAGAUACUGACGCUGAGGAGCGAAAGCGUGGGGAGCGAACAGG